rnacentral:ncRNA from 1 species
UGGGCGGGACAAAGGGUCGUGAUCUCGCGAGGGUGAGCUAACUCCAAAAACCCGUCCUCAGUUCGGAUUGCAGGCUGCAACUCGCCUGCAUGAAG